UAGUGAUUGUAUGUCUACGUCUUUCAUAUAGAAACAGGUAUGAGAUACUCCACCUUUUCCGAAUAAGAAAAAGAAAAACUACCACAUAAAACUCAAUUUCAUCAGCAUCACCAUUUUCCAUAGAAGAUGAAAUAAUAACUUGAAGAUAGACAACGCGGUUUCCUUCAAUAUAAUUCAAUUCGUUUUCCUACUUUUAGUAUUUAAAGAAUUAGUUUGGGCUGAUUGGGGCCAAAAUUUACACUAGCCCACCGGCACCGCCUGACUUCUCUAGGGAAAGGAGUGCGAGAGAGUGUUUCGGAACCUGCUCCUUCAAACCAAAUUUCGGAGACAGAGAGGAGAAAUCACACAACCUGAGACCAAGCAGUGAUUUUCAUGGCCAAAAAAUGCUCAGGUCAAGUAUCUGUUUGGGAAAAGAAAAAAAAAUUCUUGGGUUUUUUGCUAUUCAGCUGGCGAUUAUGGACUGUGGCCAUGAUUUGUUGAGCUUCUUUGAGUUGUGAAACUAAAGCUCUCUCUUUCCAAUGACUACCGAUCACACAUACAGCAGAACAACAUCCUGAUGAGGUCAGAUUUGUUACAUCCGAUGAGCAAUUCAAUUCCACUCUUUCCUUUUACAUGAGAUUUAUGUCUUGGAAGAUGGGUGCUAAAUGUCCAUUGGAAGAAGUUGAAGUGAUAAUAAGAGAGAAUAUAGAUUUCGCCUUGAGAUUCAAAAACCUUGGUUAGUGGUUCUAGGCAUUGAGAGUUUCUGUUAUGUUGGAAAUUAGGAUCCUUCGUGGUCACUGUGCUUCUUUAAUUAGGAUGAGUUCAACAUGUACAAAUGCUUCAAGGCCUGAAGUGACCAUUGUACAUGAGCAUACCUGCAUUUUUGAAAAAUACCUUAGGCUAUGUAGUGAGAGCUUGUUUUUCUAUUGACAUUCUUGCUACAUGUUCACCUUUCUUCAAUCAAGUGUGAUAGGUCUAACUUGUAAUGUGUACACAUAUAUACAGUGGCAAUUUCAAGUAUAUGUUAGUGUUAUGAAGAUAUGGAGUGCACAUCAAAUAAA